rnacentral:rRNA from 1 species
UACGAAGGGGCUAGCGUUGUUCGGAAUUACUGGGCGUAAAGCGCGCGCAGGCGGUUCGAUAAGUUAGGGGUGAAAUCCCCGGGCUCAACCCGGGAAUGGCCUUUAAGACUGUCGAGCUAGAGGACGAGAGAGGUGAGUGGAAUUCCCAGUGUAGAGGUGAAAUUCGUAGAUAUUGGGAAGAACACCGGUGGCGAAGGCGGCUCACUGGCUCGUUUCUGACGCUGAGGCGCG